rnacentral:snRNA from 1 species
GUGCUUACUUUGGCAGUACAUUUACUAACAUUGGAAUGAUACAGAGAAGAUUAGCAUGGCCCCUGCACAAAGAUGACACAAAUUCGUGAAGCAUUCUAUAUUUAA